CUGAAGCAGCCCACCCUGUUAGCUGGUGUUGAUCUUCCUGAUUAAGAGUUAAGUGGGUUCUGUUGAGUCAAUGAUAUAAUGCAGAUGAGAGAGACUCUGGUGACAAAGGAUUUAGAGGUCCGGAGUCAGGACCCUCAAGAGUAGCUAAAGCAGAUCCACCCCAAUUCUCGAGUGCCAGAAGGAUAUUUCAUUGAAGUUUAACACCUCCAAUGAAGCUUUAUAAAAGCCAGCCUUGGGCACAGAAAUUCCAAGAAUCUCAGUAUCGUCCCCUGGUAAUUUUGACCACAGCUGAACUCCUGAGGACCCAAGAGACUGCUGCAUAGGGGGAAAGACUCAGAGUCCAUUUAUUGUAGCAUUAUCUCCAUUCUGACAUCUUAUUUUGUCACUGUGUCCAACCUUCACCCCCAUGGAAGUCUGUCACUCCUUUAUCUUGUGGACUAAUACUUUAUCACCUUCUGUACAAGUCUGGAACAACUCUAUCAACAUAUUUAUGAACACAUUGCACAUUUCAUAAUGGCAGAGAAUAUGAGGGUUUAUAAAUCCCUAGGUAGCACAGAUUAAUCAUCCCUUCUGUAACCGGCAACUGUGCUGUGUGUCACGUCCAUGAUUUCACGAUUUGAAACAAAGCUAAGAUUCAGACUCAAAGAGAAGUCACGGUAGUAAAUUGCAUCUUAAGUUCUUAAUUACCUAAAGACGCCUGGAGGGGAUUUUUAAGAGACUUGAUUAUUAAUACAGGACCAGUAUUUUCAAAAUGCACCACUGUCAAAGUUCACAUUUCAUGUAUCUCCCAUUCCCUGCAACAUAAGUCAUUGGCACCUGUUUUUUAAUCCCCCCCUAAAGUUAUAUAAUCGUCAGCAGCUUAUUCUUCAAGUCUGGCAUUUUAAAGAGAGCUUGUAUCAACAAGUUGGUUAUGUGCCACAAAAGUAAUGCCCACAGCAACAGGUAUUCCUGGAGCCUCAGGUAAAAGUGAGGGUAUUUAAUGAGUGCUUCAUUAAUCAGUGCUUUGCAAGCGAAGGGCGGGAAAACAUUAAUAGUAUGGCAAGGUUAACCAUAAGUGAAUCCAAGAGAACGUACAUGUCACAACUGCUGAAGUCCCAGAGAUUUUUGGACUGAACAAGCUGACUUUAAAAUCCAUCUCCAUAGAAAGCAAAAUCCAUGCUGUUACAGAAGAAUAUUUCCCCCUCUCCCCUCAACAAAGUAGAAAAGUUGUUUGAUGGAUGUGUUAUUUUAAUGUAUAGAUUCGCAGCUCUUAAGGCCAGAAGGAACCAUUAGAUCAUUAUCUGACCUCUGGUAUGGCAAAGGCCAUAGAAUUUCACUCAGUUCCACUUGCACUGAGCCCAGUUAUUUGUGUUUUGGUUGAACUAUAUCUUCCAGAAAGAUCUGCUUUGCUGGCAGAUCAUUUUAGAUAGCCUAAUAAAAUUUAGAUUUCUUUGGACCAGCCUGCUUUAAGAUUCUGCAGUUGCCAAUGAUCCCAAGGAACUAUUCUGGCACCUGGAGAUAUCUGGGACACAUGGGAUGAUAAAUGGAAACCUCAGCCAGGCCCUCUUUUCCCCCGCAACCACACCCCUGCACUAGUGACCAAUUGGUGGGGCUACAGCAGCUCUGCCCCACUUGAGGAUGCCCCUAAGGAGAAUAAAUCCUCCAGUGGCUGGCUAAACUGGCUUGAGGACAGUGCAAACUUACUACAGAGCAGGAUCUAAGCCACUUCA